AGUGAACGCUGGCGGUAGGCCUAACACAUGCAAGUCGAACGGCAGCACAGUAAGGGCUUGCUCUUACGGGUGGCGAGUGGCGGACGGGUGAGGAAUACAUCGGAAUCUACUUUUUCGUGGGGGAUAACGUAGGGAAACUUACGCUAAUACCGCAUACGACCUACGGGUGAAAGCAGGGGAUCUUCGGACCUUGCGCGAUUGAAUGAGCCGAUGUCGGAUUAGCUAGUUGGCGGGGUAAAGGCCCACCAAGGCGACGAUCCGUAGCUGGUCUGAGAGGAUGAUCAGCCACACUGGAACUGAGACACGCUCCAGACUCCUACGGGAGGCAGCGGUGGGGAAUAUUGGACAAUGGGCGCAAGCAUGAUCCAGCCAUACCGCGUGGGUGAAGAAGGCCUUCGGGUUGUAAAGCCCUUUUGUUGGGAAAGAAAAGCAGCAGGUUAAUACCACGCUGUUCUGACGGUACCCAAAGAAUAAGCACCGGCUAACUUCGUG
rnacentral:rRNA from 1 species